UUAUUGUUUUUUUUUUUUUAAAUUAUAAUAUCUUAUGAUACUCAUUUUUAUUUUAGACUAUGAAUUAAUAUGUGAAGUAUAUUUGAAGUUAUUAAAGCCCAUUGAUAUAUUUAUGAUUAUAAUUGUAUGAGAAAUAAAUUAAAAAUUUAUUUUUUUGUCACUAAGAAUUAUUUAUUAUGUAAAAUACUUGCCUUAUAUUAUUAUUUGUCAUACAAUAUAGUGGGUUUAAUUAUAAUUAUGAAUUUUUAAUUAAAAU